GACGUAGGGCGCGAGCGUUGUCCGGAUUUAUUGGGCGUAAAGAGCUCGUAGGCGGUUUGUCGCGUCGUUCGUGAAACUCACAGCUUAACUGUGAGCUUGCGGUCGAUACGGGCAGGCUAGAGUUCGGUAGGGGAGACUGAAUUCCGUGGUGAGCGGUGAAAUGCGCAGAUAUCGAGGAGACAGCGAGGCGAAGCGGCUGCUGGCGACUGCUGACG
rnacentral:rRNA from 1 species